CCCUAGCCCCGAUAGCAGUGAAAAUCCUUUUACUUUUUCUUUAAAAAGUAAAAGAUUGCAACGUAUAGCGGGAAAUAGC
rnacentral:sRNA from 1 species